rnacentral:tRNA from 1 species
GCCAAAAUAGGUUAAUAUAAACUAGGGGACUCAUAACCCUCUGUUGCCUGUGUGAAGGCUUUUGGUA